rnacentral:snRNA from 1 species
AUGCUUGCUUCAGCAGCACAUAUGCUAUACUAGCAUUGGAAAAAUACAGAGAGGAUUAGCAUGGCUCCUGCACAGGAAUGACGCGCAAAUUUAUGAAGCAUUUCACAGAAAA